GUUAGUUAUCACCUUGUCCGUAAGUCCGUGAAAAGCAACGCCAGGUACAUCCACAGUAACUCCGUCAAGCUUCUCUCCAAGUUCCUUGGAGGCCGUAGAGAGCAUGCGCGAUAGUCACAGAGGUGAUUCCAAUCCUAACAAUUACUACUGUCAGACAAGACAUGACACACUCGGCCCAGCACAGGACUGCAGAGCAAGAUGGUAGCUAACACACUCAAACACUGACAGAUGGAUCAGUACUAACCAGCAGGCACCAUUAAACUGAAACCUGGGGGUGUAGAGAGUGGAGUAGCCAGUGUAGUGAGCAGGACAACUCCAAUACCACUCAUAGAGGAAAGCACUGUCAGACAGCUUUUUAAUGACCACUUACAGCAGAGGGAUGGGCUGUGUCCAGCUCCAGCUCUCCCACCUGCAGUAGGAGUUUCAAGAAGAUGUAGCCGGUACUGGCGUGUUGCCCUGCCGACUCCAUCUCUAAAUUUGCUCUCAAAGUGCCACGUCUGGGCAGAGGGAUGGUGAUGACGGUGGGCUGGCUCUGCUGCCUGAAAUCUCGGCAGGUUCUGAGGCAAUGCUGAGUUAUACUCUGGAGCAGAUCCACUUAAUGGAGGCAGGUCGCUUGGACAUCUGUUUCUGGUGCUGCUGAGGGCUGCAUCUCUGGGUGCGACAGGUGUUCCUCAUUUUGAUGAUCAUCUGGAGGAGUAUAUAAGGGACGUAUUGCCAGCACUUCUUUGCCUGAGUGUUCUGCCUACAGCGGUUCCAUAUUCACUCUUUUGACUCUGACUCAUCUGACUCUUUGAGUCUGAUGGUUUAUCGCACCCUGCUUCAGAAAACCCGGAUCAAGUCCCAGCUGGCUGUCCGUUCUCCGGUACUCUUUCCUCUCCUGCACGCACCCAGUCCACCCUCCAACGAUCCGCUUACUUGGACCACGGAAGUUCCUGGUGGAAUCCCAGAAGAGGCCCCCCUGGAUCUCCAGACUCAUUUGCCAUCUCCCUGGCAGAUCUAGUCCUCCCUGCACAUCUCCUCCGGUUCCUGUCUGCGUGGCUAGCCCUGAUCAUUAUCUGUUCCAGAAUUCUAGCAAUAAACUUCCACAACUGUUUACUGUUCUCUGAGUGUUCUUCCGCAUGUGGGUUAAGUCGGCC